AUUGAACGCUGGCGGCAGGCUUAACACAUGCAAGUCGAGCGGAGAUGAGGUGCUUGCACCUUAUCUUAGCGGCGGACGGGUGAGUAAUGCUUAGGAAUCUGCCUAUUAGUGGGGGACAACAUUCCGAAAGGAAUGCUAAUACCGCAUACGCCCUACGGGGGAAAGCAGGGGAUCUUCGGACCUUGCGCUAAUAGAUGAGCCUAAGUCGGAUUAGCUAGUUGGUGGGGUAAAGGCCUACCAAGGCGACGAUCUGUAGCGGGUCUGAGAGGAUGAUCCGCCACACUGGGACUGAGACACGGACCAGACUCCUACGGGAGGCAGCAGUGGGGAAUAUUGGACAAUGGGCGGAAGCCUGAUCCAGCCAUGCCGCGUGUGUGAAGAAGACCUUUUGGUUGUAAAGCACUUUAAGCGAGGAGGAGGCUACUUGGAUUAAUACUCUAGGAUAGUGGACGUUACUCGCAGAAUAAGCACCGGCUAACUCUGUGCCAGCCGCCGCGGUAAUAC
rnacentral:rRNA from 1 species